rnacentral:rRNA from 1 species
GACGAACGCUGGCGGCGUGCCUAACACAUGCAAGUCGAGCGGAGAUGUACUGAAGAUUUAUCGGAUGUACAUCUUAGCGGCGGACGGGUGAGUAACGCGUGGGCAACCUGCCUUUCACUGGGGGAUAACACAGGGAAACCUGUGCUAAUACCGCAUGACAUCACGUAGGGCAUCCUAUGUGAUCAAAGGAGAGAUCCGGUGGAAGAUGGGCCCGCGUCCAAUUAGCUGGUUGGUGAGGUAAAGGCUCACCAAGGCGACGAUUGGUAGCCGAACUGAGAGGUUGAUCGGCCACAUUGGGACUGAGACACGGCCCAGACUCCUACGGGAGGCAGCAGUGGGGAAUAUUGCGCAAUGGGGGGAACCCUGACGCAGCAACGCCGCGUGAAGGAAGAAGGUCUUCGGAUUGUAAACUUCUUUGAUGAGGGACGAAUAAAGUGACGGUACCUCAAAACAAGCCACGGCUAACUACGUGCCAGCAGCCGCGGUAAUAGUCACG